GACACAGGGAUCAGGAGAAAAGGAGAGGAGGAGACACAGGGAGGAGGAGAGGAGGAGAUACAGGGAGGAAGAGAAAAGGAGAGGAGGAGACACAGGGAGCAGGAGAAAAGGAGAGGAGAAGACACAGGGUGUGAAGGCAGACAGGUAGUCGAAGUCUGCGUCCCCGAGCUCGAGCACGUCUCUGCGCGCGAACACCGCGGCGGCAAAACAAGACAGCAGCGUGAAGGUGAGGGCGGGAAGGAGGCGGACAGCGGCCGCCAUGAUGGAGAGAAACGAUGAAUGAUUUUAGAUGGAGAGGGAGAAAUAUGAAGCAGACCGUCCGGACCGUCCGGGAGGGCGGAAGACAUACAACUGUUUCCGGUCAUAGAUUACAAAAUAAAGUCCGCAUCCAACAGA